UACAGAGGGUGCGAGCGUUAAUCGGAAUUACUGGGCGUAAAGCGCACGUAGGUGGCUUGGUAUGUCGGGUGUGAAAUCCCCGGGCUCAACCUGGGAACUGCAUCCGAAACUGCCUUGCUAGAGUAUGGGAGAGGGAAGUGGAAUUUCCGGUGUAGCGGUGAAAUGCGUAGAUAUCGGAAGGAACAUCAGUGGCGAAGGCGACUUCCUGGACCAAUACUGACGCUCAGGUGCGAAAGCGUGGGGAGCAAACAGG
rnacentral:rRNA from 1 species